rnacentral:rRNA from 1 species
GAGCGGAUGUAGCAAUACAUCAGCGGCAGACGGGUGAGUAACACGUGGGAACGUACCUUUUGGUUCGGAACAACACAGGGAAACUUGUGCUAAUACCGGAUAAGCCCUUACGGGGAAAGAUUUAUCGCCGAAAGAUCGGCCCGCGUCUGAUUAGCUAGUUGGUGAGGUAACGGCUCACCAAGGCGACGAUCAGUAGCUGGUCUGAGAGGAUGAUCAGCCACAUUGGGACUGAGACACGGCCCAAACUCCUACGGGAGGCAGCAGUGGGGAAUAUUGGACAAUGGGCGCAAGCCUGAUCCAGCCAUGCCGCGUGAGUGAUGAAGGCCCUAGGGUUGUAAAGCUCUUUUGUGCGGGAAGAUAAUGACGGUACCGCAAGAAUAAGCCCCGGCUAACUUCGUG